UUCUUAUCCAGAGUGGCGGAGGGACUGGCCCGAUGAAGCCCGGCAACCCCUUUAGGGUGGGUGCCAAUUCCGGAAGAAUACUUUGUAUUCUUUAAGAUGAGAA
rnacentral:ncRNA from 1 species